rnacentral:rRNA from 1 species
CAGUCGCCGCGGUAAUACAGAGGGUGCGAGCGUUAAUCGGAUUUACUGGGCGUAAAGCGUGCGUAGGCGGCUUUUUAAGUCGGAUGUGAAAUCCCUGAGCUUAACUUAGGAAUUGCAUUCGAUACUGGGAAGCUAGAGUAUGGGAGAGGAUGGUAGAAUUCCGGGUGUAGCGGUGAAAUGCGUAGAGAUCUGGAGGAAUACCGAUGGCGAAGGCAGCCAUCUGGCCUAAUACUGACGCUGAGGUACGAAAGCAUGGGGAGCAAACAGGAUUAGAUACCCGAGUAGUCCCUGUCUCUUAUAC